rnacentral:rRNA from 1 species
AUACGGAGGGUGCAAGCGUUGUUCGGAAUUACUGGGCGUAAAGCGCGGGCAGGUGGUGUGUUAAGUUUCCUGUGAAACUCCGAGGCUCAACCUCGGACAUGCAGGGGAUACUGGCAGACUGGAGACUGGUAGAGGCUGGCGGAAUUCCUGGUGUAGCGGUGGAAUGCGUAGAUAUCAGGAAGAACCCCGGUGGCGAAGGCGGCCAGCUGGGCCAGGUCUGACACUCAGCCGCGAAAGCGUGGGGAGCAAACAGGAUUAGAAACCCUAGUAGUCC